CACAUGCAGUCGAACGAGAGAAGAGAAGCUUGCUUUUCUGAUCUAGUGGCGGACGGGUGAGUAACACGUGAGCAAUCUGCCUUUCAGAGGGGGAUACCGAUUGGAAACGAUCGUUAAUACCGCAUAAUAUAAUUGAACCGCAUGAUUUGAUUAUCAAAGAUUUAUCACUGAAAGAUGAGCUCGCGUCUGAUUAGCUAGUUGGUAAGGUAACGGCUUACCAAGGCGACGAUCAGUAGCCGGACUGAGAGGUUGAUCGGCCACAUUGGGACUGAGACACGGCCCAGACUCCUACGGGAGGCAGCAGUGGGGAAUAUUGCACAAUGGAGGAAACUCUGAUGCAGCGAUGCCGCGUGGGGGAAGAAGGUUUUAGGAUUGUAAACCUCUGUCUUCAGGGACGAAAAAAGACGGUACCUGAGGAGGAAGCUCCGGCUAACUACGUGCCAGCAGCCGCGGUAAUACGUAGGGAGCGAGCGUUGUCCGGAAUUACUGGGUGUAAAGGGAGCGUAGGCGGGAUCGCAAGUCAGAUGUGAAAACUAUGGGCUUAACCCAUAAACUGCAUUUGAAACUGUGGUUCUUGAGUGAAGUAGAGGUAAGCGGAAUUCCUAGUGUAGCGGUGAAAUGCGUAGAUAUUAGGAGGAACGUCAGUGGCGAAGGCGGCUUACUGGGCUUUAACUGACGCUGAGGCUCGAAAGCGUGGGGAGCAAACAGGAUUAGAUACCCUGGUAGUCCACGCCGUAGACGAUGAUUACUAGGUGUGGGGGGACUGACCCCUUCCGUGCCGCAGCAAACGCAAUAAGUAAUCCACCUGGGGAGUACGACCGCAAGGUUGAAACUCAGAGGAAUUGACGGGGGCCCGCA
rnacentral:rRNA from 1 species